AAGCGGGAGCCGGGGGUGAGGGGCGGGACGCUGUGUGCUCGGGGUCCGAGGCGCGCCGGGCGGAGGAGUGGCCCUGCGGUCUCCCCACCCCUUUGCGCUUCCUACCCGGCUCGCGUCUGGGAGACCCCGGGAGUCAGGAUGCCCGAUCCCUCAGCGAUGCUGCGGGCCAGGUUCCUGGGGCAGCGACUGCUGGGACACCUGGGUCAGGGAAGCUGGGAAGUGUGGCGUCUGGAACUCAGUGUUAUUCGUCCAUUCGGGAACCUCUGGUCCCGGGGAAUGAUGGAAUGAUGGAAUGAUUUCCAUACACCCGACCCACUCCCCUGUGAGACCAGUGGUCUGUGUUACGUGCCAUAUGGUACAUGGCGGUGCUCAAGAAUCUUAAGGCUGUGCUGUCAGAUUAUUGUAGCUAUUUAGAUUUAAAUUAAAUUAGAAGUUCAGUGUCUCAGUUGCACUAGCCAUAUUUCAAUGUCUCCGUGUGUGUUUGGAGGAUAGUGUCUGGCUAGUGGUAGCCAUCCUCGACAGAGCAGAUAUCCCAUCAUUGUAGAAAGUUGUGCUGGACAGUGCUGCCUUAAGGCCUGUUGGGGCCCUGGAGGAAGAUUGUAUAGGUGAGUGCUGGGCAGUAACAGGACCUGGCCUGCCUGUCCCCAUUCCACCUCUCCCAGGCCUGUCCAGAGACUUAGGCCCAGAGGGGAUGCCUGCAGACCAGCGAGGGUGCUCAAAGAGCUAGCUCAGGGGGAUCUCGAAGCCAUGGAACCAGAGGGGCCACCAAGAUGUUGCUGUCAUCAUCGCGUAAGCAGUCAGACCCUUAGGGAGAAGGGGCUUUUUGGCCUGGAAUCCCACCCACCUCUCUCCCCUGAUCAGUCUCCCUGUGGCAAAGUUGGGGCCUGACUCACAAUGCACUUGACCUCGAUGGCGUCCCCGAGUAGCGUUUGAUCCUUCUGGGUUCAGUAUCCCAAUCUGUCACCCAUGUGAUCCUGCCUGCCCUCCUCCCCGGGUGGGGGGCUGGGUGGGAAGGAUGGCUGAGUGGGAGGACACAUGUUCACUGAUUCAGAGCACCUGCACUGAGGCAUCUCUUCAGUUUUUCCUAUGUGCCAUCUUAGCUGGGGGGACACAAUCUCCUUGUCGGGGCCCCACCCCAAACUCGCCAGUCACCUGGAGGAGGGGUUUCAGUCCUGCGUCCGAGACUCAAGAGGGAAGAGAACUGGGGUCUGAUCAGUCCUCGAGGCCUUCGGGUGGCCCAGCGCCUGCCCAGGUGCCAAGGGCAGAGUGCUUUAGAUGGUACUCCCAGUUUGACCAGCCUUUUGGAGCCACCCACCCCCCACCAGGCCGGUGGGGCUGGAGUCAGAAGACCUUCAAGAGGGCUGUGUGUGGGCACCCACACUAGCCUGCCCUAGGGACCCGCAGGCAGGUCUACCAGCCACCUGCACACUCAGGGUAAGUUAACAUCAGGGGGCUUCUCGCCCUCCUGGUCCCCUGGACUUGGGUGAGCAGGGAUUGGGUCUCAUCCCUUCUCUCCUGGGCACCUCCCAGCGGCCAGUUCUGCACACGGAAGCGGUGGAAUGGGGCCGUCCUGCAGGUCCAGAGGAGCUAUUACCACUUCUGCCCACCCACCCCCAGCGGGGGCGGUGCCUUCCACCCCACAUUUUUUUUUUUUUUUUUUGGCACGCGGGCCCCUCACCGCUGUGGCCUCUCCCGCUGUGGAGCACAGGCUCUGCAUGAGCAGGCCCAGCGGCCAUGGCUCACGGGCCCAGCCGCUCUGCGGCAUGUGGGAUCCUCCCGGACCGGGGCACGAACCCACGUCUCCUGCAUCGGCAGGCGGACUCCCAACCACUGCGCCACCAGGGAAGCCCCACCCCACAUUUUUGUAAGGAACCAACACAAGCCAGUCUUACGGGAGCAAACAGACCUGUUCUAUGGUAUUAAAGGCAGCCCACCAAGGCACUGUGCGGGCCAUAGGGGUCGUCUCCACUCUCCACCCUGUCCCUGUCCUGCAGAGGACAGCGCCUUCAGUGCUGGGGGACGGGGGCACUGCCUGCUGACAAAGGUCCAGGGUGGCUGCAGCGUAGUCCUCCUGUCACCCCACCCCAAACCACUUAGGGGAGAGGAACCUGAAAGCCGGGACUGCUAGAGGCUGGGGCUUCUCCCAUAGGAAUUUUCAUACACCAGCCUUUUGAUGAUCAAAUGCUGGCUGGCUUGGGUGGGCUGAUGCAGCUGACACUCCGCCUGCACCCCAGCUCUCCCCGAUGCACGUGGACUAGGUACCCCUAUUCAAGUGCGCUGGCACUGGGAGGGGAGUGGGUCCCUGGCCUCACUUGCCAGCAGGUGGACACGGAGGCAGGAGGGCUUCCAGGAAGCCUGUGGUGUUCAGCUGGGGGCUGUGUUGUCCCUGGGUCAGAGGUCCUAGGGAUACCUGGGCCUCUGGUGGCAGCCGAAGCUGGAUGGUUCUCAGAAUGGAGCUGGUGGGACAAAAGGCUGAUGGGACCCACAGAUGUCCUUCAGCCUGGCCCGGGCUCUGACAUCCUGGCAGCCCUGUCACCCAGGACCAGGUCAGCAGGUGAGGGGGUGUACCAGCAAGGAUGUCAUGAGCACACGGGGUAGAAACGUGGGCUCAGGUCCUGGCUCCUGACCUCCUAGCUGGGCAAACCGCUCAGCUCACCUGAGGUUACAGACGGAGCCACCGGAGCCUCACCUGCCACGUGGAGGCAACAGCAGGAGCUUGUUUAUGGGGUUGAUGAAAAGUGACACGAGCUAUGAGGGGCUUGUGGCAAGUAAGUGGCAGCUGGCAAGCUUCCAAAGCUGUGUGAAAGUCGGGUGAGCCACGGAGAGCUGCAUUUGGGUUAUGACGAGGGCUGUGGCUCUUGGACGUGGGGGCUGCUGACUGGUGACAUCGCACCGGGCUGGGUGCUGACCUGCAGGGUGUGGUGUGUGCUCUGAGCCAGGGACCGUCACAGCUGGAAGCCCAGAUGUGCAAGAGGGUUGGGAGGAGGAAGACCCUUUCCCAACCGCCCCAGUGCGUCACUCGCAGAGUGUGAGCUUCCCAUCCCCACAGCUUUGGGCUCUGCUGGGUCAGAGGCCUUCAUCUGCAGGUAGGAUGCUUCCAUGUGGGGACACAGCUGGACAGGAGGCUGAGACACCACUUCACCAUCUGGGCUCCACAAGCCUCAAAUCGGGAGUUGCUCUGCUGGGUGAGGUGACUGAUCGCACCAUGCAGCUUGCAGGAUCUUAGUUCCCUGACCAGGGAUUGAACGUGGGUCCCAGGAGUGAAGGCACCGACUCCUAACCACUGGACCGCCAGGGAAUUCCCUGAUCCUGACUUUCAAGGGGCAGCAGGGCUUUGCUGCUGCUCAGGGGGGCCAGGAGGAGUAUGCUGGAACUCAGGGCAUUCUCCUGAUGCCACCCACUACUCCUUGGUUGUAUUGCAGAGGUCACAGAGGCCAGAGCGCCAGUGCAGGCAGGACCACUCAGGGCUCAUCAGACACCCGAUUAGGAAAGACCAGGACCUGAGGCACUGGCUGAGGGUCAAGGAAAAUGAUAAACGUCAACUACAGUAUUUUAUUCAUAACCUUGUUAUGUAUAUAUUUGUAUAUUAACCAGGGAUUAUGUUAUCUGUAACUCAUAUGUGUUACCCAAUUUUUCCUUUACUCUUUCCCCACUAUCUUAUUUAAGGAGUGUUGGUGAUUAGUCUUCUAGUAUAGUCUUUAGGCUGUAGUGUGUCCAGGCGGGGUGCCUCUGAACCAGAAGAGGAACCAACAGGCUCAGAGACAUGGGUGGUCAUUGCAUUGUUGACAUGACCUUGGCUGCAGGAUGUUAGGCUGGGACUCAUUGCUGUUGCUGAAACUGGGAGGCCAGUAAGGUAGGAGGUGGGUACGGACACUGAGACCCCCAAGGGUGCCCACAUUGGGUGGUCUGUCACACAGCCUCGAGCCCUCACUACGUGUCACAGCAGCUACAAGUCUGGAAACUGGGCCCGCACCACCUGAAUCGCAUGUUGCGUUUUGUGAUGGGGCCAGUGUGAGGUUUGGGAAAGCCACUGUGGCUUGAGCAGGUGGCAGGCAUGAGGUUCUGCCAGCAGCCCCCCAGAAGCCCCCCACAUCAGAGUGGCAGGCAGCCAGGAACAGGGUGGCGGGUCUCCAUGACUCCUGUACUUCCCCAUCUCCUGACCUUGGCUCCCUGGCCUCCAUCUCUCUGUAGUAAAUGUGUUUCUGGCUAGAAUUCUUCAAGUGGUUUUGAUGUUCCUGACCAAGCUCUGUCUAAUAAACCUGCUGACGAGGGGCGGUACGGUUCUCAGUUCUCUCCUCGGCGGACACACCCCAGCCCUACCGUCAAGGCGGGACAGAGACCUUCAGGAAGUUGCAGAAAAUAAAAAAUCCGUGGGACGUGAGGCAGGAGAGGACAGACCACCCCCCAGUCAGUGCACGAACUACCUCUUCCCACCCCGAGGCUGCAGGAAACUCCAAGCGCCCCGCUUUGGGGUUGGGCCGUCCUCAAGGGCUGACCCAUUAGGGCUCAGUCGGGCCCGAGGGCUCCCCGGGCAGGCGGGACCACGACUGCAGGGCCUCCUCGUACUUCUGGAGCUGGGACCAGAAGCCCGGGUUGGGCUCGGCCACCGGGCGGGCGCUCUUCACAGUCUGCAAACGAGAGGCUUUGGCUAGACACCGCGCAGCGUCGGCUGCAAGCUCCGCUGGCAUUCCCAACGCCCGGAGGCCCCGCCCCAACGAGCGGGCCCUCCUCGAAGCCCCGCCCCCACGGGCGGGCCCCCGCCCCUGCCUAGAGCCUCGCCCCUCCCAGAAGGCCCCGCCUCUUCCCGCCGGAAGCCCCGCCACGAGAAAGUCCCGCCCUACCUGGAAGGCCCGCUCCCGCGUGAGGCCGCGAUGACGCAUGAGGUAGGCGGUGCAGACGGCGGCCGAGCGGCUGCGGCCGUUCUUGCAGUAGACGAGGCAGGCACCACCGGCGCGUACCGCGGCCUCCAUGGCGGCACAGGUCCAGACAUCACCUACGUAGAGGCCUUCUCGGCAUCCGUUUCCUUCUUCUGUGGCCUAAGGAAGGAUUCUGACUUUCCUGGGAUGGGAUUCCCAUUUUUCCCAGAGUUCACGGGAGCCAUCCAAGUAGGUGGAGAUUCCCUGUCCCCCAGCUCCAGAAUCGGGCUUCUGAUUACGUCCAGUCAGUGACGCCUAUACCCCCAUGACUGCUCCGGGAAAGGGCUUGGGCUGCCAUGUGAACCAGAGAGGAGAGAGGGGCUUGGAAACCUCUGUCCUCUCCUUAUGAGCACAAAGGGAAGCCAGCCUUGGUUGAAAGCACAGCUGAAGAAACGGUCCUCGAAGAUAUUGCUGGGCCACUGGAUCAAACCAAACCUGAAGAGCCUCCAGCUUCUGGACUGUUUGGUUUCCUGAGCCAUCCAAUCACCCUUUGCUGUUGGAUAUUUGAGGUGGAUUUUCUGUUCCAAGGCCUCUUAACUGAUAACCUCACACUCCUUCACCCCAUUGAGUUAAUGAAUCGUCGACACCACCUGCCCACCACACCAUGGCCCAGUGGUUUUCAAAGCGUGGUGGGAACUUGGUAGCAAUGCACGUUCUCAGGAGUCCACCUACUCAGGACCUGCUGAAGCGGAAACCCUGGGAGUGAGACACAGGAAGCUCUGUGUUACCAUGCCCUCCGUGUGAUUCUGAUAAAAGAUAAAAACCUAACCAUCAUUUAGUUGAUCUAAAAAAUUCAUCCCGGAGGCCCCAGAGGGGGAAGAGGAGGAGCCCGAGGGUCCCCUUAGGGAGCAGGACCUGAAGGAGGCCCGCAUCGAGCUCGCCCAGGGUGUGCAGGAGUGGCAGGACGGCUGCGUCUACCGAGGAGAGUUCAGCAGGACAUGAAGCUGGGAUGCGGAGCAUUCUCUCGGCCCACGGGCGAGGCAAGUCGUUCCUGGUGCUCUCCCCUCUCCGGCCCCAGUUCAGCCAGCCACGGCCUGUCCCUCUCCUUCGGAGAGGCACGUGCUGUGAGCUCAUAGAUCCACCGAUGGGAAGGAUGCUAGGCAAAUGUCCUUCCUAUUUGAGAAACACCCAGAGAGACUUCUGAGAUCACGUCCGAGGUUCGCCUGGGUGUCCACAGGCUGCAGCUCGGGAAACUGUGACUUCAGAAGAUAAGUUCUUAUUCUAGGCAAAUAUUUUAAAAUUGCGAAUUAGUGUCGUGAGUUGUAUAUUUGUAUUGAUGAAAUUGCCUUGUUUUUAAGCUCAAACAGAAAAAGUGGAUCUUCCUAAAAGUGAAAGUGCACUUUUGCGCCCCUGCAGCAGGCGGUGUCAGGACCUCAGUGGGGACUCUGAGGGGCCCGUGGCAGGAGCUGUUGGCGCCACCUGGCGUCCCCGCGAGGGUGGAGCAGCCGUGCGUCUGGCGAACCUGGGGGUAUGCUGUGGCCUGGGGGCUUAGUGCGCCUCUCCCGGGGGAAGCUGGCUUCUGAAGGCUUCCCAACAGUGUGCUGCAGGUGCGCUGGUGGAGGAUUCUGCCCUGCUUGCAGGGUUGUGUGGCUCAGUGGGGACCUAAGUGCGUCUUUUGCUUGCAGAUGAUAAAAACCGUCUGGAGGCACUGUAGGGGUGUGUGCGUUUGGGGGGUUGGAAAGGCAUCAGAGGGCAGGACACCUGGCACUGAAGCUCUUCUGGGAAGCAGGCGCUGGCUGGCACAACCUCCUAGGGGCUGUGUAGGGUUCCGGCUCUGCCCCUCUCUCUUCCAGGCUUGGUUCUGCCUGUGGGGCCCCGGUUCACCUGGUUUUGGCGCCCAAGGCUGGGGGACCUCGCCCAGCCUCUCACCUCCUGCACUUAGUCUCCCGAGUCCAGGGGAGAGCGGGGCAGGGAG